UACGAGGGGGGCAAGCGUUGUUCGGAAUUAUUGGGCGUAAAGGGUGCGUAGGCGGUCUGAUAAGUCAUCUGUGAAAUCUAUGGGCUCAACCCAUAGUCUGCAGGCGAAACGGUCGGGCUUGAGUAUGGGAGAGGUGAGUGGAAUUUCCGGUGUAGCGGUGAAAUGCGUAGAUAUCGGAAGGAACACCUGUGGCGAAAGCGGCUCACUGGACCAUUACUGACGCUGAUGCACGAAAGCUAGGGGAGCAAACAGG
rnacentral:rRNA from 1 species